rnacentral:lncRNA from 1 species
UGACACCAUACAAGUGUUCAUUUGAUACUUAUGAAGAAAUUUCAGCAACAAAAGUGUGGUUGGGAGACAAUGGCAUGGUACAAGUCAUUGGAAUUGGCUCCAUUGUAGUGGAGAUUGUUGUGAAGGACCAAAUGAAGAGGAUCAGAUUGAAAGAAGUCUUACAUGUACCAAAAAUGAAGAAGAACCUCCUUUCGGUGAACAAACUUGUAUCACAU